AUUGUCACAGGACUAUGCUGGCUUCACUUCGAAAGCUUAACUUUUUCUAUUUACUUUGUUUCAUGAAUUGUGUCGGACGUUUUCUGUAAUGUCACAUUGGACACCACAAGUGC
rnacentral:lncRNA from 1 species